rnacentral:tRNA from 1 species
GACUCAGUAGCUCAGCUGGUAGAGCACAUCCCUUUUAAGGAUGGGGUCCUGGGUUCGAAUCCCAGCUGAGUCACCA